UCGUGCUAGACGGGGAGGUAGCGGUGCCCUGUAGCCCGCAAUCCGCUAGAGCGGGGUCGAAGUCCUGCCCGAGGGUCAAUCUUGUGGGGCCGCCCCGGGUAAGUGGUGAAGACGUUUGGGUCCCGCGCAGCAAGAACCCAUGAACCCCGUCAGGUCCGGGAGGAAGCAGCGGUAAGUGGUGUUUCUUGGGUGCCGCGGGAGCGCCUGAACCGAGCCGGCUGCCCUGGUACCGCCUGGAAGGUUGCAUUCGAAGGCAGGUGCACGA
rnacentral:SRP_RNA from 1 species